rnacentral:rRNA from 1 species
GACGAACGCUGGCGGCGUGCUUAACACAUGCAAGUCGAACGGAAAGGCCCUGCUUUUGUGGGGUGCUCGAGUGGCGAACGGGUGAGUAACACGUGAGUAACCUGCCCUUGACUUUGGGAUAACUUCAGGAAACUUGGGCUAAUACCGGAUAGGAGCUCCUGCUGCAUGGUGGGGGUUGGAAAGUUUCGGCGGUUGGGGAUGGACUCGCGGCUUAUCAGCUUGUUGGUGGGGUAGUGGCUUACCAAGGCUUUGACGGGUAGCCGGCCUGAGAGGGUGACCGGCCACAUUGGGACUGAGAUACGGCCCAGACUCCUACGGGAGACAGCAGUGGUGAAUAUUGCACAAUGGGCGGAAGCCUGAUGCAGCAACGCCGCGUGCGGGAUGACGGCCUUCGGGUUGUAAACCGCUUUCGCCUGUGACGAAGCGUGAGUGACGGUAAUGGGUAAAGAAGCACCGGCUAACUACGUG